rnacentral:rRNA from 1 species
CGGUUAAGUCCGCUUAACGAGCGCAACCCUCGCUGUGUGUUAUAUGUGUCACACAGGACUGCUGGUAUUAAGCCGGAGGAAGGUGGGGACGACGUCAAGUCAGCAUGACCUUUAUAUCCAGGGCUACACACACGCUACAAUGGUCAGUACAAUGGGUUGCCAAGCCGCGAGGCGGAGCCAAUCCUAAAAAGCUGGCCUCAGUUCAGAUUGCAGUCUGAAACUCGACUGCAUGAAGUCGGAGUUGCUAGUAAACGCAGGUCAGCUAUACUGCGUUGAAUACGUUCCCGGGCUU